UGUGGAAAAGGUCCUCCAUUUUG
rnacentral:miRNA from 15 species